GGAAUAUCCACGGCACUGUUACUUAUAACUGAUUUUGCAGGAAUGGUCUGGAUGGCAUCUUUUUUCCUUGAUGGAACAUCUGAAGUAGGUCAGCUGAACACUUCUGUUGGAGAAUCAGAAUAGUGGGAGGAGAAUGAAAUGAAACUGCAUAACCUCUGAACGACCUCCUGAAGUUUGAGAAACCUCAAGACGAGAGCGAGCGAGAGAGAGAGAGGGAACACUGAAAGAGAGAGCAGUGCAGCUCCGUCAAAUCGGUGCAUGUCUUCGGUAAAAUACAGGUUAUGGAAUCAGUAACAGAAUUUUUCGGCUAUGACUAAAACGCCGGCGGCGGUCUGAAGUUAUCGGUUUCCCCGCCAAAUGUGAGCCAUCUCCGGCACGAGAUCCAGCGCCGUUACGGUGGAAACAGGAGAAAAGAGACUGGUCGAUUACACUUGAAUUACUUCUAAAUGUUUCAUUUUUACUUCUAAUAUUUGUUAGAAGAGCUUAAAUGUAGGCAAUACGUAUUAAAAACUAUAUAAAAUAUGCUAUACAU